rnacentral:piRNA from 1 species
ACAGAAGGAAGCUGUAUGGGCUGUAACC